UACGUAGGGUGCAAGCGUUGUCCGGAAUUAUUGGGCGUAAAGAGCUCGUAGGCGGUUUGUCGCGUCUGCUGUGAAAUCCCGAGGCUCAACCUCGGACCUGCAGUGGGUACGGGCAGACUAGAGUGCGGUAGGGGAGAUUGGAAUUCCUGGUGUAGCGGUGGAAUGCGCAGAUAUCAGGAGGAACACCGAUGGCGAAGGCAGAUCUCUGGGCCGUAACUGACGCUGAGGAGCGAAAGCGUGGGGAGCGAACAGG
rnacentral:rRNA from 1 species